AUAGGUUGGUGCAACUGUUUGAAACCAAGAUGUGUCUGAUGGAUGCGUUCAAGAGGCCACUGUCAGUAAACUGACAGAUGCAAGCUGGUAUACUGUAGUUUUUGAUGACGGUGAUGAAAGGCUUUGAGACGGACAUCGUUGUGUCUGAAGGGAGAGAGGCACUUUGCAGAAAGUGAGACACUUGACCAACUGCCACUAACAAACCCAGAGCACUUUGGAACGCCGGUGAUUGGGAAGAAAUCCAACAGAGGAAGGAGAUCCUCUCUUCCUGU